rnacentral:rRNA from 1 species
UGCAGUCGACGCUUCUUUCUCCCGAGUGCUUGCACUCAAUUGGAAAGAGGAGUGGCGGACGGGUGAGUAACACGUGGGUAACCUACCCAUCAGAGGGGGAUAACACUUGGAAACAGGUGCUAAUACCGCAUAACAGUUUAUGCCGCAUGGCAUAAGAGUGAAAGGCGCUUUCGGGUGUCGCUGAUGGAUGGACCCGCGGUGCAUUAGCUAGUUGGUGAGGUAACGGCUCACCAAGGCCACGAUGCAUAGCCGACCUGAGAGGGUGAUCGGCCACACUGGGACUGAGACACGGCCCAGACUCCUACGGGAGGCAGCAGUAGGGAAUCUUCGGCAAUGGACGAAAGUCUGACCGAGCAACGCCGCGUGAGUGAAGAAGGUUUUCGGAUCGUAAAACUCUGUUGUUAGAGAAGAACAAGGAUGAGAGUAACUGUUCAUCCCUUGACGGUAUCUAACCAGAAAGCCACGGCUAACUACGUGCCAGCAGCCGCGGUAAUACGUAGGUGGCAAGCGUUGUCCGGAUUUAUUGGGCGUAAAGCGAGCGCAGGCGGUUUCUUAAGUCUGAUGUGAAAGCCCCCGGCUCAACCGGGGAGGGUCAUUGGAAACUGGGAGACUUGAGUGCAGAAGAGGAGAGUGGAAUUCCAUGUGUAGCGGUGAAUGCGUAGAUAUAUGGAGGAACCCAGUGGCGAGGCGGUCUCUGGCUGUAACUGACCUGAGCUCGAAGCGUGGGACAACAGAU